rnacentral:snRNA from 1 species
GGGUGUGAGGGUGAUCUGGCUGUGACAUCUGUCACCCCAUUGAUUGCCAGGGUUGAUUCAUCUGCUCCUGCUGGCUAGGUGGGUGUCCCCUUCCUCCCUCACCACUCCAUCUGUGUCCCUCUUGAAGCUGCGCACUGGGUGGAAGAAGAUGACCUUCCCCACUAGGGGAGCACCUGUCUUUGGCCAAGGGGAUGGGAAUAGCUGCGCUCCCCUGCUGGAACCUCCAAACAAGCUCUCGAAUGUUUACAAGGCUGCACGUGGAAGGGGAACCAGGCUGUGCUGUACUCGACAGAUAUUGGUA